GUCCGUGUAUCUUUGGGACCUGUCGGCUGUGGCAGUCUCCCCUGUAGCCAUGGAAGAGUGUGUUCUUGUUUACUGGCAAAGCUGUCACCAUGGAAUUGGGGUCAGAUUCUGACUGGCACAAGUAACGUUC